AUAUAAUUAAGAAGAUUCCGUUUUACGAAAAAGAUUUUAAAGCUUUAGAGAAGUUCCUACGAAAAAAGAAAAUAACAAUCACAUCUCUCGAAAAGUCAGAAGAAGAACAAAAAAUACGUCCGCUCAUAUUAUGCGCAAGAUAUCUUUCAACCCGUGAGGAAGGAGACAUAUGUGGAAUCUGUGAACAAUUAGGCGAAUAUGACAUGCAAAGAACACUUGUUCUGCUGCUUCAUAGAAACAAGGAAACAGAAGAUCAUGGGCGUAGUAAAGAUCCAGAAGAUGUGAGUUAUCGAGACAAUCCAAAAAAAAACUAUAAAAUAUUGUAUGGUAUUUUUCAUGUCAAUGUUAACUGCAUUGCGUCAAAGAAGCGUUGUUCAGCAUGUAAAACAACGUUAGAUGAACUGAUUCAGAAGAUACAGGACAGAGAAAAUACACCGUAUUCUGAAAGAACGACAUAUGUGUGACAGUGUGAACAAUAUGCCACAGCCUGAAUUUGAAAAUAAUAAAUUCGAUAUUCAAGUGUGAACUUUUAUAUGUAGCAUAAAAGUUUUUAAUUUCGUCAACCAGAGACCGUCCGAAUUUCUAAAAGAAUCCAAUACAGACUUUAAAAAACAUCUAAAACGUGUUCUAACACAUAUGGUAUACAAAGGGGAUAUAGUGUAUAAUCGUCUGAAAAUUAAUAUAAUGCUUAUUUUAACAAAAUUUUUGUAAAAUAUGUUAGAAAAUACAUUGGAAAAAGAUAUAAUACGAUAAU
rnacentral:lncRNA from 1 species